CGGACGGGUGAGUAAUGUCUGGGAAACUGCCUGAUGGAGGGGGAUAACUACUGGAAACGGUAGCUAAUACCGCAUAACGUCGCAAGACCAAAGAGGGGGACCUUGGGCCUCUUGCCAUCGGAUGUGCCCAGAUGGGAUUAGCUAGUAGGUGGGGUAAUGGCUCACCUAGGCGACGAUCCCUAGCUGGUCUGAGAGGAUGACCAGCCACACUGGAACUGAGACACGGUCCAG
rnacentral:rRNA from 1 species